GGGAUUAGAUACCCCACUAUGCACAGCCCUAAACUUUGAUAGAAACAUUACAUCCACUAUCCGCCAGGGUACUACGAGCUCUAGCUUAAAAUCCAAAGGACUUGGCGGUGCUUUAGACCCACCUAGAGGAGCCUGUUCUAGAACCGACAACCCCCGUUCAACCUCACCCUCCCUUGUCCAUUCCGCCUAUAUACCGCCGUCGUCAGCUUACCCCAUGAAGGAUUCAUAGUAAGCAGAACCAGUAUAACUUAAAACGCCAGGUCGAGGUGUAGCGCAUGAGAGGGGAAGAAAUGGGCUACAUUCCCUAAACCAGGGUAUACGGAAAAUACAAUGAAAUACGUAUUAGAAGGAGGAUUUAGCAGUAAGCAGAAAACAGAGUGUUCUACUGAAACUGGCCCUGAAGCGCGCACACACCGCCCGUNACCCCUUAA
rnacentral:rRNA from 1 species